UACGUAGGGAGCAAGCGUUGUCCGGAUUCACUGGGUUUAAAGGGUGCGCAGGCGGGAGAGUAAGUCAGAGGUGAAAUCUCACAGCUUAACUGUGAAACUGCCUUUGAUACUGCUUUUCUUGAGUUCGGGAGAGGUUGAUGGAAUUCCAGGUGUAGCGGUGAAAUGCGUAGAUAUCUGGAAGAACACCAGUGGCGAAGGCGGUCAACUGGCCCGUAACUGACGCUCAGGCACGAAAGCGUGGGUAGCGAACAGG
rnacentral:rRNA from 1 species